AGUCAACAUGCCCAGGGGACGUGGAUAACCUCGGGAAACUGAGGAUAAACCGCGAUAGGUCAUAGUAUCUGGAAUGAUUUAUGGCUUAAAUCUAUAUGGCCUCUGGAUUGGACUGCGGCCGAUCAGGCUGUUGGUGAGGUAAUGGCCCACCAAACCUAAAACCGGUACGGGCUCUGAGAGGAGAAGCCCGGAGAUGGGCACUGAGACAAGGGCCCAGGCCCUAUGGGGCGCAGCAGGCGCGAAAACUCUGCAAUAAGCGAAAGCUUGACAGGGUUAUUCUGAGUGAUUUCCGCUAAGGAAAUCUUUUGGCACCUCUAAAAAUGGUGCAGAAUAAGGGGUGGGCAAGCCUGGUGUCAGCCGCCGCGGUAAUACCAGCACCCCGAGUGGUCGGGACGAUUAUUGGGCCUAAAGCAUCCGUAGCCGGUUCUACAAGUCUUCCGUUAAAUCCACCUGCUCAACAGAUGGGCUGCGGAGGAUACUAUAGAGCUAGGAGGCGGGAGAGGCAAGCGGUACUUAGUGGGUAGGGGUAAAAUCCGUUGAUCCAUUGAAGACCACCAGUGGCGAAGGCGGCUUGCCAGAACGCGCUCGACGGUGAGGGAUGAAAGCUGGGGGAGCAAACCGGAUUAGAUACCCGGGUAGUCCCAGCUGUAAACGAUGCAGACUCGGUGACGAAUAGGCUUCGUGCCUAUUCAGUGCCGCAGGGAAGCCGUUAAGUCUGCCGCCUGGGGAGUACGGUCGCAAGACUGAAACUUAA
rnacentral:rRNA from 1 species